rnacentral:tRNA from 1 species
CUUAGGAUACUAAAACCAAGGGCCUUCAAAGCCCUAAAAAAGGGUGCAAACCCCUUAGUUUUUGUAAGACUUG